rnacentral:misc_RNA from 1 species
AACGCACAUUGCGCCCAUUGGUAUUCCAUUGGGCAUGUCUGUUUGAGCGUCAUUACAACCCCUCAGCGCAAGCUGGUAUUGAGCAGGUCUGGCAACGGACCGGCUUUAAAGUUGUAAGCUCUGCUGGCUGCUACGCCUGACCUAAAACAUAGUAGAUUCUUGCUUGUUUAUAAGGGAUGGUUUGCAGGCUGGCCUGAACAAAACCUACAUUUUCUAUGGUUUGACCUCAGAUCAGACAAGGAUACCCGCUGAACUUAA